UACGUAGGGGGCAAGCGUUGUCCGGAAUCAUUGGGCGUAAAGAGCGUGUAGGCGGUCCGGUAAGUCGGCUGUGAAAGUCCAGGGCUCAACCCUGGGAUGCCGGUCGAUACUGCCGGACUAGAGUUCGGAAGAGGCGAGUGGAAUUCCCGGUGUAGCGGUGAAAUGCGCAGAUAUCGGGAGGAACACCUAUGGCGAAGGCAGCUCGCUGGGACGUUACUGACACUGAGACGCGAAAGCGUGGGGAGCAAACAGG
rnacentral:rRNA from 1 species